rnacentral:rRNA from 1 species
CACGUAGGGUGCGAGCGUUGUCCGGAAUUAUUGGGCGUAAAGAGCUCGUAGGCGGUGUGUCGCGUCGGCCGUGAAAACUUGCAGCUUAACUGUGGGCGUGCGGUCGAUACGGGCAUCACUGGAGUUCGGCAGGGGAGACUGGAAUUCCUGGUGUAGCGGUGAAAUGCGCAGAUAUCAGGAGGAACACCGGUGGCGAAGGCGGGUCUCUGGGCCGAAACUGACGCUGAGGAGCGAAAGCGUGGGGAGCAAACAGG